UACACACAAGUACACACAGCACACACCACAUAUACGCACUAGACACCACACACCACACACACACAACUACACACACCACAUAUAGGCACUACACACACCAUAUAUACGCACUACACACACCACACACAACUACAUACAUACCACAUACACACAACUACACCACCACAUACACACAACUACACCACCACAUACACACACUACACACCACACUCCACAUACACACAACUACACACACCACAUAUAUGCCCUACACACACCAAACACACACCACAUACAUACAACUACACACACAUCUCAUAUACACACUACACACACCACCAUACACACAACUACACACACCACAUAUACAUACUACACACACACCACCAUACACACAACUACACACACCCCAUAUACACAGUACAUACACACCACACAUACACCACCAUACACACUACACACACCCCAUAUUACACACUAUACACACGCCACCAUACACACUACACAUACCCCAUAUACACACUACAUACAUGCCACCCUACACACUACACACACCCCAUAUACACACUACACACACACCACCAUACACA
rnacentral:lncRNA from 1 species